rnacentral:rRNA from 1 species
CCCUUAGAUGUCCUGGGCCGCACGCGUGCUACACUGACGCCUACAGCGAGUACCUCCCAGCCCCGAGAGGUGGCUGGUAAUCAGCAAUAGGCGUCGUGAUGGGGAUAGAUCUUUGGAAUUAUGGAUCUUGAACGAGGAAUGCCUAGUAAGCGCAGGUCAUUAGCCUGCGCUGAUUAAGUCCCUGCCCUUUGUACACACCGCCCGUCGCUCCUACCGAUUUCGAGUGGUCCGGUGAAUCUUUUGGACUGCGCGCGGCUUCGUGCCGUGUCGCGGAAAGUCAGGUAAACCUUAUCACUUAGAGGAAGGAGAAGUCGUAACA